CCCUUAGAUGUUCUGGGCAGCACGCGCGCUACAAUGGUCUUCGCAAACGGAUGCAUUCUCGAAGGAGAAUGCCAAUCUUGGAAUCUAUGCCUUGGUCGGGACAGUUGCUUGCAAUUUUUCGACUCGAACCAGGAAUUCCUUGUAAUCGUGAUUCAUCACAUCACGAUGAAUACGUCCCUGCCCUUUGUACACACCGCCUGUCGCUCCUACCGAUCGAAGAGUUAGGUGAAUUGUUUUGAUCGAUAAGAUUUGACUAUGGUCAACUCUCGUUGUGAAAUUCUGUGAAUCUGACUGUUUAGAGGAAGGAAAAGUCGUAACA
rnacentral:rRNA from 1 species